rnacentral:tRNA from 1 species
GUUUUUUGGUGGCCGAUUUUAGGCAAUAAACUUUUAAUUUAUUUAUGAGAAUUUUUCUCUCUUGCGUUGA